rnacentral:rRNA from 1 species
GACGAACGCUGGCGGCGUGCUUAACACAUGCAAGUCGAACGAUGAAGCUGGAGCUUGCCCUGGUGGAUUAGUGGCGAACGGGUGAGUAACACGUGAGUAACCUGCCCUGGACUCUGGGAUAACCCCGAGAAAUCGGAGCUAAUACCGGAUAGGACCUCGGAUCGCAUGAUCUGGGGUGGAAAGUUUUUCGGUCUGGGAUGGGCUCGCGGCCUAUCAGCUUGUUGGUGAGGUAAUGGCUCACCAAGGCGUCGACGGGUAGCCGGCCUGGGAGGGUGACCGGCCACAGUGGGACUGAGACACGGCCCAGACUCCUACGGGAGGCAGCAGUGGGGGAUAUUGCACAAUGGGCGCAAGCGUGAUGCAGCAACGCCGCGUGCGGGAUGACGGCCUUCGGGUUGUAAACCGCUUUUAGUAAGGAAGAAGCCGCAAGGUGACGGUACUUGCAGAAAAAGGACCGGCUAACUACGUGCCAGCCGCCGCCGUAAUAC